rnacentral:rRNA from 1 species
AUUGAACGCUGGCGGAAUGCUUUACACAUGCAAGUCGAACGGCAGCACGGGGCAACCUGGUGGCGAGUGGCGAACGGUGAGUAAUAUAUCGGAACGUGCCCAAUCGUGGGGGAUAACGUAGCGAAAGUUACGCUAAUACCGCAUACGAUCUACGGAUGAAAGCGGGGGAUCGCAAGACCUCGCGCGAAUGGAGCGGCCGAUAUCAGAUUAGGUAGUUGGUGGGGUAAAGGCUCACCAAGCCAACGAUCUGUAGCUGGUCUGAGAGGGCGACCAGCCACACUGGAACUGAGACACGGUCCAGACUCCUACGGGAGGCAGCAGUGGGGAAUUUGGACAAUGGGCGCAAAGCCUGAUCCAGCCAUUCCGCGUGCAGGAUGAAGGCCUGGUGUAACUAGUCUUUGUUACGGUAACGGAAACGGUACCG